rnacentral:rRNA from 1 species
UACGUAGGGCGCAAGCGUUGUCCGGAAUUAUUGGGCGUAAAGAGCUCGUAGGCGGCCAGUUGCGUCUGCUGUGAAAUCCCGGGGCUCAACCCCGGGCGUGCAGUGGAUACGGGCUGGCUAGAGGCAGGCAGGGGAGAACGGAAUUCCCGGUGUAGCGGUGAAAUGCGCAGAUAUCAGGAGGAACACCAAUAGCGAAGGCAGCUCGCUGGGACGUUACUGACACUGAGGCGCGAAAGCGUGGGGAGCGAACAGG